GACGAACGCUGGCGGCGUGCUUAACACAUGCAAGUCGAACGGAAAGGCCCAGCUUUUGUGGGGUGCUCGAGUGGCGAACGGGUGAGUAACACGUGAGUAACCUGCCCUUGACUUUGGGAUAACUUCAGGAAACUGGGGCUAAUACCGGAUAGGAGCUCCUGCUGCAUGGUGGGGGUUGGAAAGUUUCGGCGGUUGGGGAUGGACUCGCGGCUUAUCAGCUUGUUGGUGGGGUAGUGGCUUACCAAGGCUUUGACGGGUAGCCGGCCUGAGAGGGUGACCGGCGACAUUGGGACUGAGAUACGGCCCAGACUCCUACGGGAGGCAGCAGUGGGGAAUAUUGCACAAUGGGCGGAAGCCUGAUGCAGCAACGCCGCGUGCGGGAUGACGGCCUUCGGGUUGUAAACCGCUUUCGCCUGUGACGAAGCGUGAGUGACGGUAAUGGGUAAAGAAGCACCGGCUAACUACGUG
rnacentral:rRNA from 1 species